GCCUUCCACCGAAACCCCUAAGUCAGAACUGUCUUAAAUGCUUAUCCUAAUGGAAGGAGCCUGGCCCCGUCUAGCUAAGAGAAAGGGCUGAGGAACUGAAUAGAAAAAUGCUCCCUCAACAGCAUACCCCUGCUCUAAGUGUCACCGGGAAGUCACAUCAAAUGCUCUGAAGAGAGUGAAAUAUUUUGAAAAAAACAUCUGAGACCUGUUAAGAAACUGAAGAAUCUACAGCUGCUGGUGUGGGAAAGAGACAUAAAGAGGAUUUGCUUCAUUUUCUACUCAAAAUGGAAUGACCCUCCGAGUUGUCUCCACUCCAGUAGGCUGUCCAGUAAAUUCUGUCUGCCAUGGUUCUUCUGGACGUCUAACUCCGUCUCCUUAACUCAGGGAGUCCUUUCCCUGGGCUCCCUGCAACCCGCCCCGUCUCUUCAGUACAGCCUGGAAACGCUCUUCUGACGACACUCCUUAGGGUAAAGACAGACAACUGCCCAGGGAAAGGAUAGCUGAUUUUGGAACAAGGCUCUGACGGGGACUUUUCCUCAGGGUGCUUCAUAAAGAAGACACUGGGAGGUCGUGCUCAACUUCGUUGGCAGCAGGUAUCCUAAAUCCACUCCUGUGGCCUUAGCAGGCAUGGCUGCCCAGUGACCAGCCUGUGUUUAAUCAUCAGCCUGCUGAGGUGAUUUAUUUUGUAUCUUGUAUUUUUUAUUUUAUUUGUUUGCCUUCUGCUGAGUUCUGACCAGGCAGCGAUCCAUGUAACAAAAAGAUGAUAACAUUAUGAGAAGAGAACACAUGUAGAAUGUUAGCGGUCACUCAACAAGAGCUGGAGAUUUCUAAAAGACAGGGUGAGAAUACGUGAUGUUUAGAAACCACAAAUGGGACCCCUCUUCAGGUGGAAGCAUAUUUCCAAUCAAUCUGAACUAUGUGCUGUUGCAUGGGAAUAGACUUUUGAGAAGUAUGGGAUGAGGUGAUGAAGAAAAUUUACUGUGCUUAGGGAAGGCAAAUGAUUGGUAAAGUAUCUUAUCUAGGGUAGUUAAAAUACAUACACACACCAUACUUUGAUGAAUUCAGCCUAGGCACAGGGCCAUAAUUGACAUACCAGAGUCAACAAGGCAAAGAGUAGAAUAGGGGAAGCAAUUGUGGCAUAUUCAUACAAUGGCAUACAGCCACGUGCCAUAACAUGAGUUAAUCUCACAAACAUGUUGAGACCAAGAAAGAAGCCAGACAUAAAGGACUAGAUUUUCGAAUUCCAUUUAUAUGGAGUUCCAAACUAAGUAAAACGUAACAAGAGUAUUAGAAACUAGGAUCAUGGUUAACUUUGGGGAGAAGGGUGGGUGUUUUGACUGAUAAAAGACAUAAGCAAUAUUUCUGGGGGUGUCAGUAAUAUUCUCUCUCUACAUCUUAGUGAUGGUAACAUUGGCAUUUGCUCUGAGAAAUUCAUUGUGUGAUUCAUUGAACUUCACAAUUACGUUCUGUGUACUUUUCUCUAUGUGUGUUUUAUUAAAAAACC